GAUGAAGAACGUAGCGAAAUGCGAUACGUAAUGUGAAUUGCAGAUCUCUCAGUGAACCAUCGAAUCUUUGAACGCACAUUGCGCCCGCCAGCAUUCUGGCGGGCAUGCCUGUUCGAGCGUCAUUUCAACCCUCGAGCCCCCCCGGGGGCCUCGGUGUUGGGGGACGGCACACCAGCCGCCCCCGAAAUGCAGUGGCGACCCCGCCGCAGCCUCCCCUGCGUAGUAGCACACACCUCGCACCGGAGCGCGGAGGCGGUCACGCCGUAAAACGCCCAACUUUCUUAGAGUUGACCUCGGAUCAGGUAGGAAUACCCGCUGAACUUAAGCAUAUCAAUAAGCGGAGGA
rnacentral:misc_RNA from 1 species